AGAAGCCCUAACAGAAGCAGCUGGAAGGAGAAAUGCUGAAUUUACUCGUCACAGUGAGCUGAUGAGAACGUCAUUUGAGACGAAGGGGCUGAAGACUGCAGGAAAUUUCCCAAGAUGAACUGGAGCUGGAGCCCAUGUUAAAUCCAAGCCAUUGAGUUCCAGAGCCGUAUCUUAACCUUUACACUCUACUGCCUCAGAAAAAUGAAGCUUAAUAAAGCAUUUGGGAAAGUAAUUAUUAACUAAUAAGUAUUUGGGG
rnacentral:lncRNA from 1 species